rnacentral:rRNA from 1 species
UGGGGAAUUUUGGACAAUGGGCGAAAGCCUGAUCCAGCAAUGCCGCGUGUGUGAAGAAGGCCUUCGGGUUGUAAAGCACUUUUGUCCGGAAAGAAAUCCUUGGCUCUAAUACAGUCGGGGGAUGACGGUACCGGAAGAAUAAGCACCGGCUAACUACGUGCCAGCAGCCGCGGUAAUACGUAGGGUGCAAGCGUUAAUCGGAAUUACUGGGCGUAAAGCGUGCGCAGGCGGUUUGCUAAGACCGAUGUGAAAUCCCCGGGCUCAACCUGGGAACUGCAUUGGUGACUGGCAGGCUAGAGUAUGGCAGAGGGGGGUAGAAUUCCACGUGUAGCAGUGAAAUGCGUAGAGAUGUGGAGGAAUACCGAUGGCGAAGGCAGCCCCCUGGGCCAAUACUGACGCUCAUGCACGAAAGCGUGGGGAGCAAAACAGGAUUAGAUACCCUGGUAGUCCACGCCCUAAACGAUGUCAACUAGUUGUUGGGGAUUCAUUUCCUUAGUAACGUAGCUAACGCGUGAAGUUGACCGCCUGGGGAGUACGGUCGCAAGAUU